rnacentral:lncRNA from 1 species
UCUUCUAGAGUUACAAAAGCAAAGCAAACAGCCAGCCUCAGAUAGUGCUUUGGAACAGGCCAGGUGAGGGGUGCCAGCAGGUGCCUCAUGGUCCAAGUUUGGGGGAGCCACUGUGGCUGAGCGCUGGCCUGCGUGUGGUGGCAGUGCUGUGAGGCUGGGGCCAGCUGGCUCCCUUCUCAGGCCUUGUUCUCUUCUGCAAAAUGAGGGGUUGGUCUUGAUCAUAAUUACUCAAAUUUAGUGUAGUAGAUUGAGUAGUGGUCCCUCAAAAGAUGUGUCCAAGCCCUACCCUCUGGUACCUGUGAAGGUGACCUAUGUGGAAAUAGGGUCUUUGCAGAGAUAAUUAAGAAUCCCAGCCAGGCGUGAUGGCUCUUACCUGUAAUCCUAGUGCUUUAGGAGGCUGAGGCGGGCAGAUCACUUGAGGUCAGGAGUUCAAGACCAGACUGGCUAAGAUGGAGAAACCUUGUCUCUACUAAAAAUACAAAAAUUAGCGGGACGUUGUGGUGGACACCUGUAAUCCCAGCUUCUCGGGAGGCUGAGGCAGGAGAAUCUCUUGAACCCGGGAGGCGGAGGUUGCAGUGAGCUGAGAUUGUGUUACUAUACUCCAGCCUGGGUGACAGAGCCAGACUCCUUCUCAAAAAAAAGAAAAAAAAAGAAGAAGAAUCUCGAGAUGAGCUCAUCUUGGAUUCAGAGUGAGCCCUAAACCCAAUGAAUGGUGUCCUCAUGAGAUUAGCCAGACAGAAGGCAGGAGGGACAGACACAGGGGAGGAGAGCGCUGGGAGGAUGGAAGUGGAGACUACAGAGAGGCUUCCAUAGUCACGGGAGGCCAAGCAUUGGCACGACCGUCAGAAGCUGGAGGCGGGCACAGAACAGACGUGUCCCCAGAGCCUCCAGGAGGAACCCACCCUGCCCACACCUUCCUUCCUGACUUGUGGGUUUGUGAUACUUUGUUAUGGCAUCCACAGGGCACAAAUCCUCCUGCAGAAUUAAAGGAAAGAUGCUCCUGCACGCUGUAAAUGCUGAUUAAAGCUACGUUUGCUUAUAGCUCUUACAGAGUUAUGAAGGCAAAGCAAAUUUGUAAAGUUACAGCUCCAACACUGUAAAACCAUUCAAACUAAAAACAUGCUGUAUGGGGACAGGUUCCACUGGGCUGCCUUGGCAGCCUGGGCUGAGGGGCCCAAUGCUGGUGACUCACCUGCCCUCCCUCCCCUUUUCUCUCUGCCAAGCAGGAGCCACCUUUCUUCAUGGCGGCCCUGCAGGCCCCAGGCUUGGUGUUGCGGGAAGAGCCUUUCAUGAACAGGUCCAUGUCGCUCUUUUCUCUCCAGCCCAUGACAGAAGUGGAACACGGCCUGCACGGGUGGCACCAAGGCGGCAUCAUCAGGCUCUUCCCAAUGUGAAGGAAGCUUUGACUCCAUGGUGAACCCUUUAUUGGGGGCUGACUCCAGGCCCGGCUAUGGUUGUAUUUUACAGAACUUGCUGGAGACACCUGUCUUGCUGGGCUGAUGGAUUCAGAACCAAUGAUGGGAACGGGGUCAGGUCCUCCGUCCAGUGAGUGAGGAGGGAUUCCAGAUGAGCCUCUGGACCCUCUUCCUAUGCGCAGAUGGCUUGUAUCCUGAAGAUGGAAACAGCCUGCUUCUUCACCGUCGAGACCCUGAUGGAGGAAGGUGCUCCCCAGUGAGGCCGAGGGCCCCCUUUUCAGACAUACAGUGGCACCUUGUUCCUCUGGGCUGGGUCUUUGCGGUAGGCCAGUGUUGUUGUCGUGGGCACCUAAGUUGUGGGCACUGGAGGGAUGGAGGCCUUUAGGCUGCACCAAGUUACCUGCCUCGGCUUCUGGUUCCUCAACUAUAAAACCAGAUGGUCAGAGUAGGGAGCCUCGAGGGUCCCGUCCAGGUCUACAGGUGGAUAACCUGUGCGCAGAGGCCACACUGUGAGAGAAGACCUGGUGGAGGAUGUUUCCCGUGUCACAGCUGCAAGUAGGAAGAGUGUGAAUCCCUGUGAAUCGGCAGAGAAGAGCAAGGGGAGGGUUCAGGUGUAGGUGGGGGCGGGAGGGAGGAUUAGGGGGAGGUGGUGUCAGUUUCCCAAGGCUGCUGUAAUGAAUAUCCACAGACUUGGAGGCUUAAACAACACACACUGUCUUAUGGUUCUCAAAAUCAGAAUGCUGAAAUGGGUCUUGCGGGGUAAAAUCUGUGAACAGUCAUUUCUUCCCUCUCCAGGCCCUGAUGGGGGAAGGGGCUCCUGGGCCAGUGUCAGCAGGGCCGGGUUCUUCUGGAGGCUCAGGGGAGA